rnacentral:rRNA from 1 species
UACGGGGGGAGCAAGCGCUGUUCGGAUUUACUGGGCGUAAAGGGCGCGUAGGCGGCACCGCAAGUCGACUGUGAAAUCUCCGGGCUUAACUCGGAAAGGUCAGCCGAUACUGCGGGGCUAGAGUGCAGAAGGGGCAACUGGAAUUCUCGGUGUAGCGGUGAAAUGCGUAGAUAUCGAGAGGAACACCUGCGGCGAAGGCGGGUUGCUGGGCUGACACUGACGCUGAUGCGCGAAAGCUAGGGGAGCGAACGGG